rnacentral:piRNA from 1 species
CUGGCCGCUGAGGACUGGUGCAGAGUAG